rnacentral:tRNA from 1 species
GGUCCCGUAGAGCAGAGGCAGACUCGCGCCCUCUCAAGGCGGAUACGCCGGUUCGAAUCCGGUCGGGACCA